AUGUCUACUCAAGAUGAUGACAUCAAUAUAGUGCUAUAUAGAGUGAUGCUUUGUGAAGUGUCCACAGGAUCAAAGUUUCUUCAGCCCUCAUUGGGACAAAGAGCAGGAGAGUUAACAAAGCCCUGGGCCAAGACUGUAGAUGUGAGCUGCUGUUCACCCCAGAUGACUGCAGACCCUCCCACAGGCUGUGAUGGACUCUGCCUUCACUCUGCAGACUAUUUCUCAGAAUGUGGCAUGAGCAAAACUGACAAGUCAAGGCAGCAAGAUGUUGCCAUCACAACUCCUUGGGUUUCUGCUGCUCUGGGAUCUAAGUGAGAAUAUUUCCACAAAGCUUGAUGGGGGUAUAAUUUCAAUCCAUAAUUUUGGGAACCCUGCACUGUGUGAAUUUUGGCUUGCUUUUUAUAUCCACAAUUUUAAUUCAUUUUCUUUCCUGUUGCCUAACUAGAUUAGUGGUGACUUCCACAUACAUAGAGUUCUGCUGUGCUAAUGCUUGCUGUGUAUUUUCAGUCUCCAGGUGUGAGGUUGUGCUGAGCCAGGCUCCAACCUUCCUGUCUGUUACUCCAGGGGAGACAGUCACCAUCACCUGCUGAGUGAGUCAGGGCAUUGGCAACUACUUACACUGGCACCAGUAGAAAGAAGAUCAGGCCCCAAAGCUCCUCACCAACUAUUCUUCCCAGUCCAUCUUGGGGUGCUCCUGGAGGUUCAGUGGUAGUGGAUCUGCUACUGACCUUGCUUGUUACUCCUACAAACAUGUUUUUCCAUGUCCAGUUGGCUUUUUCAACUAUAAAAGUAGUUAAAUGUCUUUAGUUAAGGGAAACUCACCAUAUUUUUUUCCAAUAAAGUAGAACAAACAUAGUUUUUCAUUUAAUAAAGUUUCACUUAAUGUCAGCAUUUUCAGGAAGAAGUAAAAGCCACCAGUGAAGGUUAGGUGCACAUGAGUAAAGAAGACAGUUUUGGGUCCCAAGUCCUGAUAUUCAGUAGGGGAAAGAGCCACGCAGGAAGAAUAACCGCAUAAUAAAAGUGCAUAGAAUAAUUUAUGUAGUUGACACAUUGUGUAAAAAUCAGGAAUGGUAUGUGGUGUCUGGAGGCUGAGGCCAUUUAUUUGUGCUGAUCAGGAAAGGCCCCAGGGUCAGAGUGAAGAUUCAUCUCAGUGGUGAGGAGGCAGCCAGGUGACCACAGAAACAGCAAAGACCACAGGAUCAUUAUAGGAAGGGCAGGGACCACUGUGCACUGAAAAAGUCAACAAGAUCUAAAAUAAUCAGAUGCCUUCUGUGAUUUUCAUUCCCAUAAAGUUAAAAUUUACUGUAAUAUCGUAUAUCAUACACCUUGGUCUGGGUCACAUCCAUGGCAUAGAAUGUUCCCUGGUUCAGAAUUCGGAAGGCCAGGUCUUUCCUUUGUUGACAGUUCGCAGGUUUCCCAAAGCCCUUCCCCACCACUCAAGCCCUUAUCACUGGGUCGGUCUCUGCCUCUGAGUUGGGAUCACCAUAGGCAGGGGCAGCACUGGACACUGGAUAUGGGGCUCUGGCCCUCUGCAUUGUAGUUCCCUGGUUUCAGCUAUGGGGCCUCCAUGUGACAGGGUUCAUAUGUCCCAUGGAACAAUGGCUCAGAUUGAGGCCAUUGUUCAGGGAGCCCAGCAUUCACCGCCUACUUGAUCAGUCAGCAGGACUCUGCUGGGAAGCCUAUGGAGAGGGGCAUCAUUAACUGGGGAAGAUCUGUGUUUUGUUUCCACCUCGGAUUCUAUGGGCAAGUAUGUGGGCCCCAGUCUCCAACUUCCCAAUCAGUGUCUCCAAGAGAGGCAGUUUCUAUCACCGGCCUGGAAGGAGCAGAAUCCAGGGAAGGUUCCUGAGAUCCACCCAUGUGCUCUGUCUACCUUGGCCAUGGCCCACCCCAGCUUGGUACCCUGGUCCUGGGACACACCUUUGCUUAACAGUUAGAAGCUUGGGUGUCCCAAUGACAUUACUAGUUAUUACUGUCUACAGCUGUGCUGUUCCACGUGGUAAACACUAGCAGUGCAUAGCCACAAACAUGUCAAUUAGAAAUACUUAAAAUUAGAAAUGUAGCUUCUCAGUUACAUCAGGAACAUUUCAUGUGCUCAGUAACCACAUGUGACUAAUGACUAGCCUAUUGCACUUCAGAAAUAUAGACAUUUUCAUCAUCUUACAAAACGACUUUGCUUAGCACAGACUUAAAUGAUGACAUCUGAUCACUCGCAGUGCUAUAGCUGACAGCACAAACCUCAGCAGUUGUUCUUUUGGAAGAUCAGGUGGCCCCGGAUGCUUCCUCAGCUCGGAAAGCUCCUGUGGUUCUCAGAGCUGCUCUGGAAGUGGUUCUGGGAUGGGAGGAAUGAGGCUGGGUUGACAGAUCCAAACCAGGGGCCUUCAGCUUCUCACCCAAGUCCCUGCCAUUAUGCCCUACAGGGUUCUUUACAACCCACUCUUUUUUCCAGAACCACAUCUUUGGCAUGUCACAUGGAUCCCAGAAUCUAGCCACCCUAAUUGUUUUGUGACAAAUAUUUUUCCUGCAUACCGUUUGUCCUCAACUAGAUGACUGGUUUACUGAGGGGAGGGACCAUUUCAUGUUUUCUACAAAAUCUGUCCUAGUGAUGGAUGUCAUAGGAUCAACUCCAUGAAUACCCAUGAAAAGAUUUCAUCCAUAGUCAACACUCAUUGGACCCUAGAAUCUAAAAUCCUGUAAGAUGCUAUGUUAGAAAGUGGCCAAUAGAUGGCAGACAAACACCAUAAUAAACAAAAAAUAGACCCCCCCUGAUCUUAAAAGUAAUGAGGAAGUGAAAGUGAUCAUGUCCCCUUAGGGACCCGGAGCCCUAAGGCUGGACUGGGGUCUCCUGCGUGACAUGGUUCGCCUGGGAGGAGCUGCCAGUGAGUUUAGUGAUGGGAAAUCUCUGUGCUCUGAGACCGGAAGCCUGAUCUGGCCCCUCCCCACCGCCUUGGCUGGGUCCCCAAACCCCUCCGCUUAUGGACUGAACUAUGUUUCACAAAUUCCGAUUUGGAGUCUCUUACCUCCAGUAUGGUUGCAGAUGGAGAGAGUCUAUAAGGAGGUAAUUAGGGUUAAAGAGGUGAUCAGGGCGGGAUCCUGACACCACAGGAUUAGCGUCCUUAUGAAGAGAGACACCAUAGAACUCUGUCCCUCCCCCACCCUCCCUGUGUGCCCUGAGGGACAGUCAUGUUGGGACAUGGCCAGAAGGUGGCAUCUGCAAAUUAAAGAGAGAGUCCUCAUCAGAAAGAAAACCUUUCUGGACCUUGAUCUUGGACUUUCCAGGCUCCUAAAGUGUUAGAAAUAAAUGUCUGUGGUUUAAGCCAUGCAGCCACAUCGAUUUUGGUGUCAAAAUCCCUGCAGACUCAUCCACCCUCCCCACCCACUCUGAGCAGGAUCAGCUUCAGGAGGCCCUCCUGGACAUGAGGCCCCACUUUGCUUCUCCUGCUGCUGUUCUGACUCUCUGGUGAGGAGGGAGGACUCCGGCUUCAUCCUCAGUUUGUUUGCAUUAAGCAGAAAGACUUACUUGUUUUCAGCCUGUUUUGCUUCCUGAUUGAAAUUUAAUCAAAUGGAAUGAACUACUUCUUUGGUAUUAAUAUUUGGGAAUGUUCAUGUUUGUUCCUCACUCAGAUGCCAGUGGCAACAUUGUGUGGACCCUGUCUCCAGCCCCUAUCCCUGUGUCCCAGGUGAGAGGGUCACCAGCUGGGCUGACCAGGGUAUGAACAGCAUCCUAGUCCAGCUUCAGCGGAACUGAGGCCUGGUUCUGAGCUCCUGAUGCCCCCUGGAGACCAUGCCUGCUCUGGUCAUUCUGGCUAUCAGCAU
rnacentral:lncRNA from 1 species